UACGGAGGAUCCAAGCGUUAUCCGGAUUUAUUGGGUUUAAAGGGUGCGUAGGCGGCCUAUUAAGUCAGGGGUGAAAGACGGUGGCUCAACCAUCGCAGUGCCUUUGAUACUGAUAGGCUUGAAUACACUAGAGGUAGGCGGAAUGUGACAAGUAGCGGUGAAAUGCAUAGAUAUGUCACAGAACACCGAUUGCGAAGGCAGCUUACUAUGGUGUCAUUGACGCUGGAGGCACGAAAGCGUGGGGAUCAAACAGG
rnacentral:rRNA from 1 species